rnacentral:rRNA from 1 species
GACGAACGCUGGCGGCGUGCUUAACACAUGCAAGUCGAACGGAAAGGCCCCUUUGGGGGUACUCGAGUGGCGAACGGGUGAGUAACACGUGAGUAACCUGCCCUUGACUUCGGGAUAACUUCAGGAAACUGGGGCUAAUACCGGAUAGGAAUCCUUGCUGCAUGGUGGGGGUUGGAAAGCUUCGGCGGUUUUGGAUGGACUCGCGGCUUAUCAGCUUGUUGGUGGGGUAGUGGCUUACCAAGGCUUUGACGGGUAGCCGGCCUGAGAGGGCGACCGGCCACAUUGGGGCUGGGAUACGGCCCAGACUCCUACGGGGGGCAGCAGGGGGGAAUAUUGCACAAUGGGCGGAAGCCUGAUGCAGCAACGCCGCGUGCGGGAGGACGGCCUUCGGGUUGGAAACCGCUUUCAGCAGGGGCGAAGCUUGUGGUGACGGUACCUGCAGAAGAAGCACCGGCUAACUACGUG